rnacentral:rRNA from 1 species
AACGAACGCUGGCGGCAGGCUUAACACAUGCAAGUCGAGCGCCCCGCAAGGGGAGCGGCAGACGGGUGAGUAACGCGUGGGAAUCUACCCAUCUCUACGGAAUAACGCAUGGAAACGUGUGCUAAUACCGUAUACGUCCCUCGGGAGAAAGAUUUAUCGGAGAUGGAUGAGCCCGCGUUGGAUUAGCUAGUUGGUGGGGUAAAGGCCUACCAAGGCGACGACCCAUAGCUGGUCUGAGAGGAUGAUCAGCCACACUGGGACUGAGACACGGCCCAGACUCCUACGGGAGGCAGCAGUGGGGAAUAUUGGACAAGGGGCGCAAGCCUGAUCCAGCCAUGCCGCGUGAGUGAUGAAGGCCCUAGGGUUGUAAAGCUCUUUCACCGGUGAAGAUAAUGACGGUAACCGGAGAAGAAGCCCCGGCUAACUUCGUGCCAGCCGCCGCCGUAACAC